rnacentral:rRNA from 1 species
GUGGAGCCGUAGCGAAAGCGAGUCUGAAUAGGGCGUUUAGUAUUUGGUCGUAGACCCGAAACCAGGUGAUCUACCCUUGGUCAGGUUGAAGUUCAGGUAACACUGAAUGGAGGACCGAACCGACUUACGUUGAAAAGUGAGCGGAUGAACUGAGGGUAGCGGAGAAAUUCCAAUCGAACCUGGAGAUAGCUGGUUCUCUCCGAAAUAGCUUUAGGGCUAGCCUCAAGUGAUGAUUAUUGGAGGUAGAGCACUGUUUGGACGAGGGGCCCCUCUCGGGUUACCGAAUUCAGACAAACUCCGAAUGCCAAUUAAUUUAACUUGGGAGUCAGAACAUGGGUGAUAAGGUCCGUGUUCGAAAGGGAAACAGCCCAGACCACCAGCUAAGGUCCCAAAAUAUAUGUUAAGUGGAAAAGGAUGUGGCGUUGCCCAGACAACUAGGAUGUUGGCUUAGAAGCAGCCAUCAUUUAAAGAGUGCGUAAUAGCUCACUAGUCGAGUGACACUGCGCCGAAAAUGUACCGGGGCUAAACAUAUUACCGAAGCUGUGGAUUGUCCUUUGGACAAUGGUAGGAGAGCGUUCUAAGGGCGUUGAAGCAUGAUCGUAAGGACAUGUGGAGCGCUUAGAAGUGAGAAUGCCGGUGUGAGUAGCGAAAGACGGGUGAGAAUCCCGUCCACCGAUUGACUAAGGUUUCCAGAGGAAGGCUCGUCCGCUCUGGGUUAGUCGGGUCCUAAGCUGAGGCCGACAGGCGUAGGCGAUGGAUAACAGGUUGAUAUUCCUGUACCACCUAUAAUCGUUUUAAUCGAUGGGG